GUUACAAGCGGAUGAUAGCUUAACCGGGGACGUAACGAAAUUUCUGCUUCGCAAAAAAUCCUUACCGGAAUUUGAUACACCACAAUAUAAGUUAAAAAUAAAUAUGAAUGAAAAAUAUAUUGGAUGAAUCUAUUUAUUUCUACAAGAUUUUUCUUCGCUGUUUUUUUUCUCUCUUUUAUAAAUAUUCAAAAUUAGAAUGA